UAAUAAAUCAGCUCUAGUGGUGUCGUUAAACAUUACACACACUUCUUCAUUUUUAACCUCUGCGUAUUUAUUUAUUAUAAAGUCAAAGUAUCCCCUGUUCAUGACAUGCGCAUGUAUAAACUGUAUGUGACAGACGUGAAUUAUGAUGCCACCGCUGUCAUAGCCUUUGUAAAUUAUUACAAUUUAAUCCUAGUGUCGCCCAUUUUGUUUUAUGAGUUAUGUUGAAAAACAUCAGAACAAGACAUUUUCAUCUCCAAACGUGAAAGACACUGCACUUGCUCGUUAUGAAACUCGUAUUUAGUUUCGUAUUCAUCGGGCUAAUACUUCUUGUGGAUUAUGGCUUAAGUCGAGUGGCUGUACAAACGGUAGACGGAUAUUUUGUCCAUCACCGACCCGGUGGCUAUUUGUCCGGUAUCGGUUCAUUUCGACAAUGGUGGAGACACUUGUUCCGUCUUAGGUGUUUACUGAUUAACGAAUUUGAUUUUGAAGACGGAGUCAACCCGUGUUUAUAUUUCUUGUUGUUUCAGCCAUGGAGACGUCCGCCACGACUGCGUUCAACAACAACUGCGACACGACCAACAAUAUAUUCAUCUCUCACGACUACGUCUACCGCAGUCCCUACAACGUCCACAGCCAUGAGUACCACGGUGCCUUCUUCAACAACAACUCCAACACCAACAACAACAACAACAACGACAUCUACAACAGUUUCGACAACUACGGUUAUAACCACCACUGAAGACAGAGUAUGCCAGAACAUCCCUGGAGCGUCGUGUCUUGUCCCCAACUGUGACCCAGCCCGUGUCAUCUCAGACAAGGAUUGCUCGACAGGUUUUCAAUGCUGUUUGGUCUAGAGCCACAUGCCUUCUAUGCUGCUUGGUCUAAGGUGCAUACCUCCCAUGCCGCAUUGUCUAACGAUACAUAACGUAUAGUUCAAAAAAUAUAUACGGAUUUGCCCAUGAAAUCGUUGAGAUUAUAAAUUUUGUUGUGUGUUAAAAGCGUAAUAAACUGCAUUUAAAGUU